rnacentral:siRNA from 1 species
GGAUCGUCUGUUUGUGGAGCAC